GCCGCUAUAGCUCAGUGGUAGAGCACUGGUCUCGUAAACCAGGGGUCGUGAGUUCGAUCCUCACUGGCGGCA
rnacentral:tRNA from 1 species